rnacentral:lncRNA from 1 species
UGGUGAUGUAGACACAAGGACGGUCACCUCACCAACAGGGGGACAUGCUGCGAGCUCCUGACAGGGCUCUCUGGGAGCAUGUGGUAAGCUCCGAGUGGCUGCUGUCUCCUGAAGCGAGCCAGACCCUGGCUUCCUCCAGGGAUGGAAAACCGGUCCCUGCUAUCCACCUGAGCAUGGCAGCUGUGUCCCUGGGUGUCGGCGCCAGACUGUCCAAGUUCAAAUCUUACCAUUCC